rnacentral:antisense_RNA from 1 species
UCCCCACCAGGGUCCUCAGCCACACACCCCGAGCCCUGCCUGCGGGCCCAGCCCCCCCAUUUCCGGAGCCUGCACCCCGGACCCAGCGGGGGCCGAUCCCUGGGAAAGGCCUGGCUUCCUUUUCCUUCCUGUCCCUGCCCCACCUCCGCCGGGCUCCACAGCCGCCGGGAGUCCAGGGCCGAGACGGGAGGAGGGUACCCACCUGGUCGGUGUCACAUGCUGCUUCGGCCCCAGCGUCCCCUCCAGGUCCCGGCGCCGGCCGCAGUCCCCAGCGCCGUCCCCAGCGCAGGCCCGGCCGCCCCACCCGCGGCCCGCCCCUGGCCGCCCGACGGGAGGGAGGGAUCGGGUUCUCCUAGGAAGUUUCAGGGGAAGAGUGCUGGAUUCAGAGCCCACCUCUGGGGAAGACAGGACCCUCUCCAAGGUGGCUUCCCUAGAAGCUACUACUUCUCCCUGGAGGGUGGAGAUAUUUGCUGGUCAAAG